GGAGCACUGACUGGAUGGCUGACGAGGCUGCUACAGUCGGUGUGGAUGAGAGGACAUGACCCCAAUUUCAAAACAUCAUCCAUGCUGACAAAACCAAGGAACCGGAAGCAGGGAGGAGGACCCACUGAUGACCCUGCUUGCUGGGCUUCCCAUUACUGCUUCCCGAGGACCUUCUGCAACUGAACCAGAUGGAUUCUGCAACUGGAUGUAACAUGCUUGACAUAGAAGAGAGUCUUACAUGUUGACUUUAAGAGGAUGAAGCUUCUCCACAAAUGAAUGCCGAGGAACCAGAAGCUGGGAGGUCCGACAGAUGACCGACCCUCCUUGCUUAGUAAGACAUUACUAAUUCUUGAGGUGCAAGAAAGAGACCAAGAACAUGAGGACCACCAAGCUUGGAUGAGACUGGACAAUGACGAAGCUGAUCUCUUAUGGACAAGGAUGGUCUCAUCAGAAACCAAGAACCGGAAGAAAGAAGGAAGGAAGACCAACAGAUGAACUGAUGACCCUGUUUUCUGCGCUUGCCUUUACCAAUUCCUUAAGUUAGUUUUACUCAAGGAACAAGGAAGAAUAAAAAGUAAAAUUUAGAGGAAGUCUCAUUUACAGUGAACAUUUUGCGUGUUGGCGGUAGUGCUAAAGCCCCAUGCCAAUUUGCCAAUGAAACAAAAACACUGUUGCCAUUUAACUUGAUAGGGCAUUUCUUUUCUUCAAAGAUAACUAAUUUAAGUAAAUACAAGAGUUUUAAACACUUCCCAAAAAAUUAGGAUGUUUGAGAAAUUUACAAAUUUAAGAUGUCCAUGUAACUAAAAUGGGUUAUUUUCUUUACAAUUUUAAAUCGAUUAGAAAAACUCAAGAAUUUUAUACAUUUUGAAAAAUUAAAGAAUCACUGGGAAUUGUUAAGGAAUUUCUAUGUACCAAUAUGUUGGAAAAUUUAAGGACUGUUGAAGACCUCUCCCCCUCACUUUUAUUUCACCUACCUUAAAAAGUUUAAAUGGUUCUUCUUUUUUCCCCUCGGAAAACUCCUUAAUGCAUUGCAACAGGUUACUGGCACUCAGAUUACAUUGUGUAUAUCCUUUUGUAUUGUCUGUUUAAUUGCACGUUUUCACUACUAACUUAUUUUAUUUUGUUUUGUUCACUUGGUGUAUUUUGGUGGCUUUGCAUGUCUUUUUAUUUUACUUGUUAAAUUAACCCACAAAAGGAUAAACGCAAUGUAUACCGAGUGCUGAACUUGCCUCACCAAAAAUUGUGUUCACAUAAUAGCCAAAUUAAAUAAGAUAAAAAGUGCUGAAAAUAUUUCAAAACAUGAUCUCUUUAAGUAUCUAAUUUUUUUAAAGUGUGUGUGGGGGGGGGGGGAGAUAUCCCCUAGCUUUUAUGUUCCUUUUUGGGUUAAACAGAUCAGGUGCCAUUUUAAUUGGUUUUUGGAAGCCAAUAGGCCUAUAGGAGCAUCUUAUAAUAAUUAUUUCGAUUUGUUUGGAAGCAACUAAGUACGGACAUUACUUGAAUAAAACAUUUGGGUACGCCAACAAUUCUGAUAGUUGAAUGCUAAGACUUAAAUAAAGCUUUUAAUACAACACAAAAAAAUAGAAAAAAAAAAUAUUAGAUGGUAUUAAAGCUGGUCCUUUUUUUGUGAAUUAACAAAUUAAACAAUCUGAAAUAGUUUUUGUGGAAAAUUGUGAAUUUUUAAUUUCUCAAACUGUUUCCUCAUCUGGAAUUCGUUAUCAGUAUUUGUUUUGUAAGGAAUUUGUUUAAAAACAAUUUGUAUGUCAAUCAGGUGAAAAGAAUAAAAACUGAAUGAAAUGAGACCAUUAAUAA